CAGUAGCCGCGGGAAUACGAAGGGGGCUAGCGUUGCUCGGAAUGACUGGGCGUAAAGGGCGCGUAGGCGGCGAUCAAAGUCAGGCGUGAAAUUCCUGGGCUCAACCUGGGGGCUGCGCUUGAUACUUGGUUGCUUGAGUGGGGAAGAGGGUCGUGGAAUUCCCAGUGUAGAGGUGAAAUUCGUAGAUAUUGGGAAGAACACCGGUGGCGAAAGCGGCUCACUGGACCAUAACUGACGCUGAGGCACGAAAGCUAGGGGAGCAAACAGGAUUAGAUACCCCCGUAGUCCCUGUCUCUUAUAC
rnacentral:rRNA from 1 species